rnacentral:rRNA from 1 species
GGCGUGCGGCAGCCUACCAUGCAGUCGAACGGUAACCGAGGGCAGCGUGCUGCUCUGCUGACAAGUGUGGGACGGGUGAGUUUCGACUGGGGAUCUGCCCGAUGGAAGGGGAUAUCCCCUGGAAACCGUGGCUAGUACCGAAUUAUCUCACUUGACCGAGUGGGGGACCUUCAGGCCUCUGCCGUCGGAUGAGCCCACAUGGGAUUAGAUACUAGGUGGGGUAACGGCUCACCUAGGCCACGAUCCCAAUGAGGUCUGAGAGGAUGACCUACCACACUGGAACUGAGACACUAUCCAAACUCCUACGGGAGGCUGCUCCGGGGAAUAUUGCAGAAUGGGCGCAGGCCUGAUGCUGCCAUGCUCUUUGUAUGAAGAAGGCCUUCGGGUUGUAAAGAACUUACACCCCGGAGGAAGGGAGGCCGGUUAACAACCUGGUUCAUUGACGUUACCCGCUGAACAAACUUCCGGUAACUCCGUGCCACCUACCGCGAUAUUACAGACGGGGCAGACGUUACUCAGAUUUACUGGGCAUAUGCCUCAGACACGGGGUCUGUCGAGUCUGGAGUAAAAUCCCCGGGCUCAACCCGGGAACUGCAUUCUAAACUGGCUUACUAGAAUCUUGUAUAGGGGGGUAGAAUUCCUGGUGUAUAGCUGAAAUGCGAGGUGCAUCUGGAUGAAUACCGGUGGCGAUUGCAUACCCUUGGACAAAGACUGACGCUCAAGUGCGAUUACGUGUCGAGCAAACAGGAGUUCAUACCCUGGUAGUCCACGCCGUACAUUAUGUCGACUUGAGUACUGUGAGCUUGACUCGUGGCUUCCGGAUGUAACGCGUUAAGUCGACCGCCUGGAGAGUACGGUUUACUAGGUUAAAACUCAAAUGAAUUGUACGGGGGCCUUGCACAUGCCCGUGGUAGCAUAGUGGAUUCAUAUCGAUGCCAUUGCGGAGACCCUGUACCCUGGGCGUUGACAUGCAUGUAAUCCUCUCGAGAUGCGAAAUUGUCGUGUCUGAGAUCCCGUGAGACAGGUGCAUCCAUGGCUGUCAGUCAGCUCGCUGUUCAUGUAGUGCUCGCGUUAAGUCACUGCACGAGACUCAGCCGAUAUGCAUUUGGUGCAUGCGAUCAGUCGUCAUGUCCUGAAGACUGCGGGUGAAUAAACCGCUAGAUGUUGG